rnacentral:tRNA from 1 species
GAAUGGAUGUCCGAGAGGUCUAAGGAACUAGUCUUGAAAACUAGCUCUGUGAAAGCAGAUCGUGGGUUCAAAUCCCACUCCAUUCU